UUCUAGACAAGUUGAGUACAAUUUAUUAAUAAGAAUAAAAAAUAUCUUGUCUUAUUUCGGUCAAACACUGAUCGUUCAUAUUUUUUAUGUUGGCGUAUUUAAUACUGUGUUGGUUGUUGAAAGUAAAAUUGAAUUUACUGAAGAAUUAAAAUACAGAAAUGAUAAAUCUAUGGUAUUAUUGUUUGCAUUUGAAGUUAGAUCGGUAUAUAAUGGCAUGAACGUAUUUUGUUUUUACGAAAAAGAAAUGUACUGGUCCUUUUUAUGGUAUAUUGUCAAUACGAGAAUACAAUUUUUUUUCUUGAAGUUAAUUUAUCUUAAAUAUUUACUAUUUGAAGAAAUUAUGAAAUAGAGAAUCAAAAAUAUAUAAUGAUUCAUUUUAUAUAAAGGAAAAUGAAAUUUGUGGUUUUGUAAAAACAUGGAAUAUAAAUAUACUUUGGAAGAUAGCUUCUGUAACAUAUGAGUAUAAUUGGAAAAGCUUUAAAAAAUAAUGUCUGUAGAAAACCAUAAUUUAAAAGUUUGUUGUUUCUGUGGUCUUACAGAAGACAAUGAGUUAGAGUUUGGUAAAUUUCAUGAAUAUCAUGGUAUUGUUACACAUUAUUACUGUUUGUUAUUAUCUUCUAAUAUGGAACAGAAAGGUAAUGAUAACGAAGGUAUUUUAGGAUUUUUAGUAGAAGAUAUACAAAAAGAAUUGCGCAGAGGAAAAAGAUUGAUAUGCUCUUAUUGUAAAAAAAAUGGUGCUACGUUAGGAUGUUGCAAUACAAGGUGUAAACGCAUAUUUCAUUUUCCUUGUGGCUUAAGAGCUGGAACUCUUCAUCAAUUUUUUGGUGAAUUUAGAUCAUAUUGUAUAAACCAUAGACCAAAACAAAAAAUUGAUGAAAAAAAAAGAAAAGUAAUUAAAGAAAAUACUGAUAUAUUGUGUUGUAUUUGUUAUGAUAAUGUUAAUCCUAAGAAUUUUAUUGGGACAUUAUGGGCACCUUGUUGUAAAAAGGAUGCUUGGUUUCAUAGAAAAUGUGUUCAGCAAUUAGCAAUGAAUGCUGGUUAUUUCUUUAAGUGUCCACUAUGUAAUAAUAAAAAAGAAUUUCAAAAAGCAAUGCUAGAAUAUGGUAUUUUUAUCCCAAGUCAGGAUGCAUCUUGGGAACUUGAACCAAAUGCAUUUCAAGAACUUUUAUAUAGACAUGACCGCUGUGAUGCUGUGACAUGUUUAUGUCCAAAAGGCAGAAACUAUACAAGCAUGAAUGCAAAAUGGGAAUUAGCUUUAUGUAGAACAUGUGGUUCCCAAGGAAUUCAUAUGGCAUGUGGCCAAUUAAAAUGGGCCAAUCCUGUUUGGAGCUGUGAUGAAUGUAUAUCCAUAUUAGAUAAAGUAAAGCAGUCUACGAAGAAUGUAACAGAAACAAUAAAUAUUACCUAUCGUAACAUAGACACAGAUACCAGUGAUUCAGAAAUUUCUGUGGGUGGUACACAAGAUAAAGAUGACCUUCCUAUGUUGCCAUACUCACAUGCAUGUCCUGCGCCUCGAUCUUUUAAACUAACAUCAAAUGAAAUUCCAACAAAUACUACAUGUGAAAAUAACUGUAGCAGUUCUAGUCAAAACGUGUCUGCAACAUCAUCAGUCAAUUUUAAAAUAAUUAAAUCUAAAGAUAAAAAUAUGUCACAAACAGAUCAAGAAAACAGUGUAUUACAAAAAGAUCAAGAAAAAAGUAUGGUAAAAACUGACGAAAAAAAAAGUGUAUUAGAAACAGAUCAAGAAAAAAGUAUAUUAGAAACAGUUCAAGAAAAAAAUGUGUUACAAACAAAACAAAACAAAAACUUACAAAGUAUGCAACCAUCGAUUUCGAAUAGAAAGGUUGAUGUGAUCUUGAUCGAUAGCGAUGAAGAUGACAUUGAAGUCAUUAAUACUUCAAAAAGGUCAAACAUUGGAGAUCAAACUUUGAAGAAGAUGGCCCUUACUACCUGUGAUACAAGAACUAAAAUAAACAAUUUGGAUCAAUCUAUAGAUAUUUCAUGUAUUUCAUCAGAGAUGGCUGGAAAGAUAAAUAAUAAAAUUGAAGAGGAAAAAAAAAUUUCAGAUAACUUAAAAGCAAUAGAAAAAUAUGAAAUUAUAGAUAAUAUAAAAAAUAAUACAUUUUCAGAAAAUGAAAACCAUAAUUCAUCUAUUAUGAACAUUAAAAUUACUAAUGUAACAUCUUUAUCACCCGAAGUUUUUGCAAAUGUACCUGAUAUGAAAAGUUCAGGUAAUCAUAAAUCAUUAGAAUUAUAUACUAGUCCUUCAAUGAACUUCAGUAAUUCCGAAGAUAUUCAAACUAAAAAUACAAGACUAUCAUCUUCGGAAUGUCAAUGCAAUGAUACGGGAGUAACCUCAAAGAGAAAGCAUGAAACAAAUAUAUGUGUAAUUGGAACUCACACAAAUGGAAUAAAGACUGUGGUGAUAGAUAAAUCUAAAAAAGUAAAAGUAAAUGAUGUAGAAGAAAAUAUGAAAGCUUCAUCUAGUGCUAUUUCCUAUAAUGGAGCUAAACUGCAAAAUGAUAAUCCAAUUAAUAUAGCAUCAUCGGAAAAGAGUGUGAAAAAUAGAAGUAUAUAUAUAAAUCAACAAAUUUUUACAUCAAAUAAUUAUAGAAAGAAUAAAAUUUUUCACACUAGCAGUAAUAAAAAUAUAUUUCCUUCAAUGCUGCAAUUAACAAAUCAUAAUACAGCAGAAAACCAAAUUAACAAUACUUCAUCAUUGAUUUCUGAUCAAUCUACUAGUGAAGAUGUAAUUGUUACUCAUGUUCGGAAUAGUAAUACAUACCAAUCAUUGAAUACAGAAAAAAAUUUUACUAACAGAAAAAUGAUGCCAUCUCAAAAUUCUGAUAGUUUAGGAAUUAAAAAUGGAAUACAAUCCAUUUUCAGACAGUGCGACGGGAAUGCAGGGACCAGUUUUGCUAGUGAAUCAACAGACAACCAUGCCGGAACGAAAAAUGAUCGAGUUAAUCCAAAAGGAGCAUCAGUUAAAAGAAAAUGGACAAACCUACUACAGUGUACCGAUUCAAGAGGAAAUGUCUCUGAUGAACAUUUCCAAUCCAAUGGAUGCAGUGUGUUCUCCGAAAUUGCAAGUAACCCUAACGCCUGUGAUAGACCUAGACUGAUACCAGAAUCAGUACAAUUACAAGAUCUUAAAUUUAAAGUUCGUGAUUCUAAUAAUGUACAGAUGAUCUUAUAUGAUACGUUUUCUGUAAACAUUAAAAUGAACACUGCCACAAAAAACCAUGUAAAAGAUUCUUCCACGUCGGUAGGAGUAUCAAACAUGGAAAAUUCAUUAUUAAAAUUGGAUGACGAAUCAACAGAUGCUACUUGCAGCCGCACUUCAAAUCUUCAUUUAAUUAGCGAUAAAGAUAAGCGUACUUCCGAUACAAUUGUAAGUAAAAACGUUAUUAAGCAACGUGAUAAUGUGAAAGAAAAUUUUAAUCCUAUUACACAAACAUUUUUUGCCAAUAUCAAAUAAUUUCAGUAUAGUAAACGUAUUCGACGAUAAAUGUCAAUCGAUGACAAGAUAAAAUCGCAUGGAAAAUGAUAUUUUGGUAUUUAAUUUUUCCUCUACGCGAAAUUGACAUAUACAGCGUAUUUUGCGAUAUACAUAAAAAUGCAACGAGAUGAUGACUCCAAAGGUGAAACUUACUUCCCUUUGGAAUAUUACUAUCAAUGGUGAUUUGAGAUGAUGUGUUUAUAGUAAGUGGUAUAAUUAAAAAGGGAAUGAUUUAAUUUCUGAUAUUGACUUCAAAUUGAAUAUUAUACAUGCGAAUAUUCAUAUACAUCCAUACACCAAGAUAUUGAUAGUAAUUUAAUUGUAAUAACAAUAUACGUUAUGUAUUUACGAAGUUCUCUAAUAGCGAUCAUAUUGUUGAUUAUUGUGGACAUUCCAAUUAUUACAAUAUUAUAAAACUAGGCAUUAGACCUGCCCAAUACUAAUGACUUACUUAGUAUAUUUAAGGAAUAUCCUAAAAGACGUAUUGAUAAAAAUAUACGCAAUAUGAUAAAUCUCGUGUUUGGCCUAGUAUUCUUCAUAUAAAACUAUAAAGAAGAUUGUGAAUAAAGACACAACGUUUCUUCCGAACUCGUAGGUGUUGAUAAAAUCGAUGGUAAUCCCUCGUGAAGAGUCUGGAUUUAAAGUGAAAGAUUUCUCGAAUAAGACACGUCGGGUUCAUGAAGAAAAAGGUGUAAUCGUUAGUAUUGCUGCGGCUGCGUCUCGAGGAUGAACUUACUUGCGAUAAAUAACGUUAAGUUUAGGCUGUAUGUACAUUGACGACAAACGUUGGGGAGACUAUAAAACCAGAAUUGCGAAUGAUCCUCUUCUCAGUCGUGAAUGUUCCCCGAUGGAGUGGAGUGUUCAAAGAAUUAAGUGCUUUCUAUUGAUCUUCGCUAUCCUGGGAUACUUCAUAGUCAGAGCCAAAGGAGACCUUGACUAUACCGAUUUUGAUCUCAAAUUGAAUGCUCUUUUUAAAGUUAUCAAAUACAUACAUAAACGACCGCAACAGAUGACGAUUGGUACUAUUUACGCGAUUACUUUAACAGAAGGUGAGAGUAUUACAAUAUAUGUAUACAAAAAAGCAACUUAUAUCAAUUGCCAAUAAUAUGUUGUAAAUAAUAUAUAAUUUAUA